UGGCUCAAAUGGUAAAGCAUCUGCCUACGAUGCAGGAGACCCGGGUUCGAUCCCUGG
rnacentral:tRNA from 1 species